GUCAGAAUGGCCGAAUGGUCGAAGGUGCUAGCCUUAAGACUUAGGGGGGUGGGUUCAAACCCCGCUUUUGACA
rnacentral:tRNA from 1 species